CCACCCCGCUGCUGCUGAGGGCCGCGGGGGGCGGCGGCGAUGGCGGAGGCGGCGCUGCUGCUGCCGCCCGAGGCCGCGGCGGAGCGGGACUCGUGGGAGAGGCUGGCUUUCUGGGAUCGGAGACCUGACACUACGGCGCCACUGACCGACAGGCAGACGGACUCCGUGCUGGAACUGAAGGCGGCGGCGGAGAACCUGCCCGUGCCGACCGAGCUCCCAAUUGAAGACUUGUGCAGUUUAACAUCCCAUUCGCUGCCCAUUGCACAGACUUCAAUAGUGCCUGAAUCUACAGAAGACAUUCUCUUGAAUGGUUUCAUUUCAUUAGAAAUGGAAGAAGAAAAAAUAGAAACUGCACAGCAGUUUUUCUCAUGGUUUGCAAAGCUACAAACUCAGAUGGAUCAGGAUGAAGAAACUAAAUAUAGACAGAUGAGGGAUUACUUGUCUGGGUUUCAGGAGCAGUGUGAUGCUAUAUUGAAUGAUGUAAACAAUGCUCUUCAGCAUCUGGAAUCAUUGCAGAAACAGUAUCUUUUUGUGUCCAAUAAGACAGGAACCCUACAUGAAGCCUGUGAACAACUCCUAAAAGAACAGUCGGAACUUGUUGAUCUGGCUGAAAACAUUCAACAAAAGCUUUCCUAUUUUAAUGAAUUGGAAACUAUUAACACAAAAUUGAAUUCCCCUACAUUGUCUGUGAAUAGUGAAGGAUUUAUACCUAUGCUGGCCAAGUUAGAUGAUUGUAUAACAUAUAUCUCAUCCCAUCCAAAUUUUAAAGAUUAUCCUGUAUAUUUACUGAAGUUUAAGCAAUGUCUUUCUAAAGCUUUGCACCUCAUGAAGACAUACACUGUGAACAUACUACAGAACCUCACAAAUCAGUUAUUAAAAAGGGAUCCUUCAUCUGUACCUAAUGCAGACAACGCCUUCACACUAUUUUAUGUGAAAUUUCGAACUGCUGCCCCCAAAGUCAGAACUCUUAUUGAACAAAUAGAACAGCGAUCUGAAAAAACACCUGAAUACCAACAACUGCUAAACGACAUCCACCAGUGUUACCUUGAUCAGCGGGAGCUCCUUUUGGGCCCUAGUAUUACUCGUACUGUAACAGAGUUAACCAGCCAGAAUAACAGAGAUCAUUGUGCCUUGAUUCGCAGUGGCUGUGCCUUUAUGGUCCAUGUGUGUCAGGAUGAACACCAACUUUACAAUGAAUUUUUCACAAAACCAACAUCAAAAUUAGAUGAACUUUUGGAGAAACUGUGUGUGUCAUUGUAUGAUGUCUUCAGGCCGUUGAUCAUUCAUGUUAUUCACUUAGAGACACUUUCGGAACUUUGUGGGAUUCUUAAAAAUGAGGUGCUUGAAGAUCAUGUACAGAACAAUGCUGAACAACUAGGGGCAUUUGCAGCUGGAGUAAAGCAGAUGUUGGAAGAUGUACAAGAGCGGCUCGUCUAUCGAACCCACAUCUACAUUCAGACUGAUAUCACUGGCUACAAGCCAGCUCCUGGAGAUCUGGCAUAUCCUGAUAAGUUAGUAAUGAUGGAGCAAAUUGCACAGAGUUUAAAAGAUGAACAGAAGAAGGUACCUUCAGAAGCUUCGUUUUCAGAUGUUCGGUUAGAAGAAGUAGAGUCUAAUAAUCUAACAAAAUCUGGUUCAACAGAAUCUCUCAAUCCUAGACCACAGACCACAAUUUCUCCAGCAGAUCUUCAUGGAAUGUGGUAUCCUACAGUUCGACGCACUCUUGUCUGUCUCUCCAAAUUGUACAGAUGCAUAGAUAGGGCAGUGUUCCAAGGAUUAUCACAGGAAGCCUUGUCUGCCUGCAUUCAGUCGUUACUUGGAGCAUCAGAGUCUAUCAGCAAAAACAAGACUCAGAUUGAUGGACAACUUUUUUUAAUAAAGCAUCUUUUGAUUCUUCGUGAACAAAUUGCUCCAUUUCACACUGAAUUCACCAUUAAGGAAAUUUCCCUGGACCUCAAGAAAACUAGAGGUACUUUAUUGUCCUGGCUGGCACAUUUCGACCUGUCCAAAUGUAUCAGCACAGGUUAUAGGUUUACUUUAUGUUCAUCUGCAAUUUUUUUGCAUGCUGUGCUUGCUAAGCAUGUUACUUGUUCAUACUAAGCUGAGCUGUCAACAUCCUAAUUACAUCUAACUUGCUGUAUUUUCUUUUUGAAGGGAACUAUGUCUGAGCAUUUCAAUUUGUAGUAUAGCAUUACCUCUCUUAGACUCUGCCAUGUACUAUCAUAACCAGUUAAAAAAUGAAAAAUCAGUAUAACAGCUACUUACAGUUUCUGCUAAUUGGGAUGGUUUUAAACAUUGAGAUGUCAGUUCAUGAAAAUUCAGGAAGCCAGCUGGAUAAAAGAGGAAGAGUAUUUAUUCUAGUCUGAAAAAGUUGGGUUCUGUUCCUGGCUCAUCAUUUCCUGGCUCUUGUGUGAUCUUGGAUGGAUGUUUUAACUUUCGUAUGCCAGGUAAAAUGAGCAUAAUCAACAUGUCAUGAUACCUUUACCAGGUUGUCAAAUUAGUUAAGAUCAUUAAGAAUGAAAAUGUAUGUUAAAGGCUUUGUAAGCUUAAGGUGUUUAAAUUAAUGUAAGUGGUGUUAUUAUUAAAUCAGUUGAUUGUUAAGUAAUCAUGUAGGUAGGGUCUUUGAGUUGGUAAUAGACUUAGGAUCAUCUUGGUAAAGAUGCCUCAUCUAUCCUAAUCAUUUGUCUCUGAAUUAAUAAGUGAUGAUUUCUAGAAGAACAGAGUAGUAAUUUUCUAAGAUAUUGAUCUUAAGCAGUGAAGAAUAUACCACACAUAUCCCUCAUUUUUCUUACUUACAGAAUUAUCUAAACUAUAUCCUUUCUUAACCAUUUGCAAGAGACUUAAACUCUAAUGACUUAAGCCAUUCAUUUAUGUAAUGAGGGGAAUUGAGAAAAAUCAUAGUCACUCAAAUUAUUUUCUGUAUUCUGUGGUUCAGUGGAACUCCAAAUAUAGGAUUUCCAAGGAUAGUAGAUUGUUCCCUAAUGACUGUGCCUUUAAAUUAGUAGACUUGAUUUAACUCACCUGAGAGCCAGCGUGGUCUCCUCAUGAGUCAUAUUAAAACAGUUUGCUCUUUUCUUAAUGCUUUCUUCUUUCCACCACAGAGGAUGCUCUUUGGCUCUAUUGGAAUUUGGAUAGUAAACUUGUAUGUUACUCAUAUACCUCAUGAUUUUCUUUUUUAAACAGAAGCCAGAUUUCCUGGCUUUUGUCCUGAGAGAAUGCAUAGUUUUUUAGAGCUUAUUCUCAUCAUAAGCUUCUCUCUCUCAACCAUUCUAUAUGAUUUUCUUUCUUUUCAGUAGGAGAUGUGGGAAUAGUGCUCUUAACCUUGAAGAAUGCCAGGCACUGAUAGUCCUUACUUUAUUUUAGUGAUGGGAUAAAGCAGGGCUGAUCUACUUCCUUUCAUUUUUUAAAAUUCAUAACUUGUUGCUGCUGGGUUCUAGUAUAGAUCUACUGAAGUGUAGGAAAAUGAAGUACCCUAAAAUUUUGGCAAAUAUUGGUUUAAAGUAUGUUUUCCCUAAAGCAUAUGUAAUCCUACCAUAUACUGAUUUGAUUCUAUUUUUUGCAGACACUCUGUUAGGUAUUUUGUAGAAAAGAGAGCAGAAACAAAGAGCUAUUCACUAAAGCCUUACUCUGAACACUGAAUCUGAUAGCGAGGUUCUUUUUCAGUAAGAUCAGGGUCAGGGCAGUAAGUACUAUUGUGAUAAUAGCACGGUUGGCAGCAUUGCAUGCUUUGCUUUCUCCAGUCUGGCAAAACAAAGAAAAGAAAUGGCCUUUUCUGACUAUCCCUUAAUAAUACUUGCUAUCUUUACUUUUAAGCCUCUAACCUCUCAUGACUAAUGUUAUAUCUUAUUGCAUUUGAACAUCAAUGAGACCUCGAUUAAUAUUUGACAUAAGUUCUAGUUGGUCUGGAGGUUAAGGGGUAAAUAUGUCCUUUUGGUGUUUUCUUUCUGGCUGACACAUUAGUUUAUUCACUCUGCUUCAAAUGAAUAAAUUUGUAUGCCAGCCAGGAUCUUAAAAGAAGUCGGAUGCAGCAUUUAAAAUCCUGAACCCUAUGACUGUUCCAAGAUUUUUUAGGCUGAAUAGCAACAAUGCCUUGAUAGAAUUCCUGUUGGAG